GAUGAACGCUGGCGGCGUGCCUAAUACAUGCAAGUCGAGCGAACAGACGAGGAGCUUGCUCCUUCGACGUUAGCGGCGGACGGGUGAGUAACACGUAGGUAACCUACCUAUAAGACUGGGAUAACUUCGGGAAACCGGAGCUAAUACCGGAUAAUAUUUCGAACCGCAUGGUUCGAUAGUAAAAGAUGGCUUUGCUAUCACUUAUAGAUGGACCUGCGCCGUAUUAGCUAGUUGGUAAGGUAACGGCUUACCAAGGCAACGAUACGUAGCCGACCUGAGAGGGUGAUCGGCCACACUGGAACUGAGACACGGUCCAGACUCCUACGGGAGGCAGCAGUAGGGAAUCUUCCGCAAUGGGCGAAAGCCUGACGGAGCAACGCCGCGUGAGUGAUGAAGGUCUUCGGAUCGUAAAACUCUGUUAUUAGGGAAGAACAAACGUGUAAGUAACUGUGCACGUCUUGACGGUACCUAAUCAGAAAGCCACGGCUAACUACGUG
rnacentral:rRNA from 1 species